rnacentral:rRNA from 1 species
GCGACGGUCAGCUCAAUUGUAUAUCGACUCACUAGGGGAGCUACUUGAGGCCCCACGUCGGACGGUCCCCGUGGCCGUGGCGUGCGCGUGACUGCUACCGGAAGUUUGAUCCUGGCUCAGAACGAACGCUGGCGGCAGGCCUAACGCAUGCAAGUCGAGCGCGCCCUUCGGGGUGAGCGGCGGACGGGUGAGUAACGCGUGGGAACGUGCCCUUUGCUGCGGAAUAGCCACUGGAAACGGUGAGUAAUACCGCAUGAGCCCUUCGGGGGAAAGAUUUAUCGGCAAAGGAUCGGCCCGCGUUGGAUUAGGUAGUUGGUGGGGUAAUGGCCUACCAAGCCGACGAUCCAUAGCUGGUUUUAGAGGAUGAUCAGCCACACUGGGACUGAGACACGGCCCAGACUCCUACGGGAGGCAGCAGUGGGGAAUAUUGGACAAUGGGGGAAACCCUGAUGCAGCAACGCCGCGUGAGUGAAGAAGGCCUUCGGGUUGUAAAGCUCUGUUGCCCGUGACGAACGGCCAUAUCAGGAAAUGGGUGUGGUUUGACGGUAGCGGGAGAGGAAGCCCCGGCCAACUACGUGCCAGCAGCCGCGGUAAUACGUAGGGGGCGAGCGUUGUCCGGAUUUAUUGGGCGUAAAGGGCGUGUAGGCGGUUCCUUAAGUCAGGGGUGAAACCCCGGGGCUCAACCCCGGGCCUGCCUCUGAAACUGGGGAACUUGAGUACUCUAGAGGGCAGUGGAAUUGCCGGUGUAGCAGUGAAAUGCGUAGAGAUCGGCAGGAACACCAGUGGCGAAGGCGACUGCCUGGGGAGAAACUGACGCUGAGGCGCGAAAGCUGGGGGAGCAAACGGGAUUAGAUACCCCGGUAGUCCCAGCCGUAAACGAUGAGUGCUAGGUGUAGCGGGUAUCGACCCCCGCUGUGCCGGAGUCAACGCAAUAAGCACUCCGCCUGGGGAGUACGGCCGCAAGGUUGAAACUCAAAGGAAUUGACGGGGGCCCGCACGAGCAGCGGAGCAUGUGGUUUAAUUCGAAGCAACGCGUAGAACCUUACCAGGGCUUGACAUGUAGCGAAUCCUUCAAAGAUGAGGGAGUGCCCUUCGGGGAGCGCUAACACAGGUGGUGCAUGGGUUGUCCUCAGCUCCGUGUCCUGAGAAUGUUGGGGUUAAGUCCCCCCACCAAGCGCCACCUCCUUAUCGUAUGUUUGCCCGCCAGGGAAAAGCUGGGGCACUCCUGGCCAAAACUGCCCGGUGAACAAACCCGGAGAGAAAGGUGGGGAAUGAGACUCAAAAAUUCACCUGCGCCUCUAAUGGUCUCGGGGGGCAAACCCUUGGUUUCAAAUGGGGCUCCCCUAAAGAAGGAGGGAGAAAUCCUGGGAGGGGGGAAACC